rnacentral:rRNA from 1 species
UACAUGCAGUCGAGCGGACAGAUGGGAGCUUGCUCCCUGAUGUUAGCGGCGGACGGGUGAGUAACACGUGGGUAACCUGCCUGUAAGACUGGGAUAACUCCGGGAAACCGGGGCUAAUACCGGAUGCUUGAUUGAACCGCAUGGUUCAAUUAUAAAAGGUGGCUUUUAGCUACCACUUACAGAUGGACCCGCGGCGCAUUAGCUAGUUGGUGAGGUAACGGCUCACCAAGGCAACGAUGCGUAGCCGACCUGAGAGGGUGAUCGGCCACACUGGGACUGAGACACGGCCCAAACUCCUACGGGAGGCAGCAGUAGGGAAUCUUCCGCAAUGGACGAAAGUCUGACGGAGCAACGCCGCGUGAGUGAUGAAGGUUUUCGGAUCGUAAAACUCUGUUGUUAGGGAAGAACAAGUACCGUUCGAAUAGGGCGGUACCUUGACGGUACCUAACCAGAAAGCCACGGCUAACUACGUGCCAGCAGCCGCGGUAAUACGUAGGUGGCAAGCGUUGUCCGGAAUUAUUGGGCGUAAAGCGCGCGCAGGCGGUUUCUUAAGUCUGAUGUGAAAGCCCCCGGCUCAACCGGGGAGGGUCAUUGGAAACUGGGGAACUUGAGUGCAGAAAAGGAGAGUGGAAUUCCACGUGUAGCGGUGAAAUGCGUAGAGAUGUGGAGGAACACCAGUGGCGAAGGCGACUCUCUGGUCUGUAACUGACGCUGAGGCGCGAAAGCGUGGGGAGCGAACAGGAUUAGAUACCCUGGUAGUCCACGCCGUAAACGAUGAGUGCUAAGUGUUAGAGGGUUUCCGCCCUUUAGUGCUGCAGCAAACGCAUUAAGCACUCCGCCUGGGGAGUACGGUCGCAAGACUGAAACUCAAAGGAAUUGACGGGGGCCCGCACAAGCGGUGGAGCAUGUGGUUUAAUUCGAAGCAACGCGAAAAACCUUACCAGGUCUUGACUUCCUCUGACAACCCUAAAAAUAGGGCUUCC